rnacentral:rRNA from 1 species
GAGUAAUGUCUGGGAAACUGCCUGAUGGAGGGGGAUAACUACUGGAAACGGUAGCUAAUACCGCAUAACGUCGCAAGACCAAAGAGGGGGACCUUCGGGCCUCUUGCCAUCGGAUGUGCCCAGAUGGGAUUAGCUUGUUGGUGGGGUAACGGCUCACCAAGGCGACGAUCCCUAGCUGGUCUGAGAGGAUGACCAGCCACACUGGAACUGAGACACGGUCCAGACUCCUACGGGAGGCAGCAGUGGGGAAUAUUGCACAAUGGGCGCAAGCCUGAUGCAGCCAUGCCGCGUGUAUGAAGAAGGCCUUCGGGUUGUAAAGUACUUUCAGCGGGGAGGAAGGGAGUAAAGUUAAUACCUUUGCUCAUUGACGUUACCCGCAGAAGAAGCACCGGCUAACUCCGUGCCAGCAGCCGCGGUAAUACGGAGGGUGCAAGCGUUAAUCGGAAUUACUGGGCGUAAAGCGCACGCAGGCGGUUUGUUAAGUCAGAUGUGAAAUCCCCGGGCUCAACCUGGGAACUGCAUCUGAUACUGGCAAGCUUGAGUCUCGUAGAGGGGGGUAGAAUUCCAGGUGUAGCGGUGAAAUGCGUAGAGAUCUGGAGGAAUACCGGUGGC